rnacentral:misc_RNA from 1 species
CUACCGUAUCAUUUCCGACAUCUCCAAGAAUAUCUAUCAACCAUGGGACCUCUGAAUGCGAGAAGUUUCUUGUCCUCUCUAGUCCCUAGGCUUUUUCAUUCCCACAAGUCAUCAACCAGAUAAGGACCGCAAUUUUCUCAUCAGAUCGAUCAGCAUGAAGAGUCAAAGAGCAGAGUUGGUUUAACAAGGUGGAAAUGGCAGUGGUCCUCUCUUUGCUUCUAGGCCAUUGCCGCUGCCACCAGGUGGAACACUUUAGGAACCAUUCAUAUGAAGAAAUUGUAUUUGCUUGCCUUGGUUUCUUUUCAGAUCGAUGCGUAUCAGAAGAUAUUUCAUCCACUACACACAGGGAUUCUUUUGGUGAUGAUACUUCAAGUUCAAUGAAGUUUAAAGCCAUUGUUAAUAGCCUUCAUUCAUCCUCUCAGGUAAGUUAGGAGAAAGUCUUUUCUAUAUGUUAAUAAUGUGUUCACAAAAGUUAGAUCAUAUGCUUGGUUUUGUAAUUUUUGGGUCAUCGGUUGUCUGGUAAUCAAUUCUAGGACGGCUUUCCUUUCCUUUCCUUUCCUUUUUCCCUUCUGAUUAUUUGCCAACAUU